rnacentral:rRNA from 1 species
UACGUAGGGUGCGAGCGUUGUCCGGAAUUACUGGGCGUAAAGAGCUCGUAGGUGGUUUGUCGCGUCGUCUGUGAAAUUCCGGGGCUUAACUCCGGGCGUGCAGGCGAUACGGGCAUAACUUGAGUACUGUAGGGGAGACUGGAAUUCCUGGUGUAGCGGUGAAAUGCGCAGAUAUCAGGAGGAACACCGGUGGCGAAGGCGGGUCUCUGGGCAGUAACUGACGCUGAGGAGCGAAAGCAUGGGUAGCGAACAGGAUUAGAUACCCCCGUAGUCCCU